rnacentral:rRNA from 1 species
UACGUAGGGUGCAAGCGUUCAUCGGAAUUACUGGGCGUAAAGCGUGCGCAGGCGGUUUUGUUAGACCGAUGGGAAAUCCCCGGGCUUAACCUGGGAACUGCAUUGGUGACCGCAAGGCUUGAGUGUGUCAGAGGGAGGUGGAAUUCCGCGUGUAGCAGUGAAAUGCGUAGAUAUGCGGAGGAACACCGAUGGCGAAGGCAGCCUCCUGGGAUAACACUGACGCUCAUGCACGAAAGCGUGGGGAGCAAACAGG